GUUGUAGGUAACAUAGAACCCAUUCCCCGCCUAUCCUCUUAUCUUAAAUGUCAAAUGGAGUUCAAAAACCAAGUGGCUCAUAUUAAGCAGAUUGUGGGGAUGCAUGCAGUUGUAGCCUGGAUGGGUGACUUAAAAAAUUCAGGCCAGUUGCCAGUCAGAAGUGAACAAUUUUUGUACCAGAAGCAGAGAAAGUGAGCAUUCAGAAAACAAGAUACAGCUGUCAUCAAUAUUGCAGUCAAAAGCAGCCAAGUUAAAGGUAUACAAUCAACUGAUUCAUAGUUUGUAUUAUUUUUUGUUUGUUUUCUUUUUUAUAUACUGUUUUCAUCUGUUCAUUAUCAUCUGCUGCUUAUUAAUGUUUACUCUCUAAAACUUUCUUUUUUUCCUUCAG